UGCUCCGACGUUUUUGGAGAUGUCUAUUUUUUUUUUUCAUGCUUUGUGGCAGCUUUAGAACAUCUGUGGCAUCUAUUAAUGUCAAAUCUAGCCUUUAUUUAACAACAUAAGCAAACUCUAUGUUACAAUGAUUGCACAGCCAUUAAGGAUCAAAUCAGUUUCUGAAAAAUGUUCUGUUUUUUCUCCCUCUGCUUGCUUCUUACUGUCUUUGAGGCUCGGGACCAGCACUCCUGCUGUUGGACAGAAAGACAUCAACUUGAGAUAUGACUGCACUGUGCUGUUGCUGGUGACCACAGUUAAUUCUACAAGACAUGCUGUGACACCAGGAGAGAUGAGUCCUCCAUCACAGAUGGUGUGGUCAGUGAAGAUGGUCGCCUGCAGGUUCAAGCUCAUUGCAUCUCCAACCCACAUCCACUGCCACUGUACUGAAGGGAAGUUAAAGACUUUCUUCUGCACCUCACAUUUGGAUCACCUCGAUCCAUGACAGUCAUUCAGGCAGUAAUGCCUGGACUGGAAACAAGCCGUCCUUAAAAUAUUACAACAUUCCAGCUCAUGUGUUGGAAUGAAAA
ensembl:lncRNA